GCUCCUGUAGGCUAACUUGGAUAGACUGCACGGUUGCGGUCCGUGUGAUCGGGGUUCAAAUCCCCGCAGGAGCG
rnacentral:tRNA from 1 species